CCGCUUACCCUUAGAACGUUAUACCACGCAGUGGUUAUACCUUUAUCACUUUACGGAUAUGAAUUUUGGAAUACAUGCAUGCAAACGGAUAUUAAAGGACUUGAGGUAGCGCACAGGCGUUGCGUUUAACCCAUUGUAGUGUCAAACCCGGCUCGAGGCCGAUUACUUGGAUUAAAAUAACCAUAAACAAAACAACACGACACACCAUUGAAGGUUCCACAAUCUAAUAAGCGCCCUCUAAACAUGUGCAUAUCAGGGGAUGCCACUCUAACAAUAAUCCUUGUAAUAGGUAUAACAGAAUUACUUCCCUUAGACCAUUGAAUACUCAUAACAUGAUACGAUACUACACCCAUAUAGUCAUUGUAAAUGUCUACCAGCACUGACUUUUCACACGCAGUGUUAGAUGUUAAGUCACUCGAAACAGGUGUUGACGCAAGAAAGCUUUAAUGUAUUGGAUAGCUGUGUAAUCUUCCUUGUAGAUGUAUGUAGACACUUGGCCAAAUACGUAUUCCUGAAUAGACUGGUGCGAUUUCUUAACAAUGAUUAUGAAUGCCAAUGAUUUAUCAGUGCUUUAUUUGGAUAACCUCAUAGGAACAAUCUAAAUGAGUAUCUUAAUAUGAACUUGAGCAGUGAGACAUUUGUUCAAAGAUGCAGUGGAAGAGCAUUCUCCGGCAACACGUGACAAAUGCGACCAGAGAAGCCAGAUGCUUGACGUUGCCGGCAAGACUAUGACGUUAGUUGACUCCGGAAAUGCUAGAGAUAAUGGCUUGACCUUGGUGAGAACAAGGUUCAUGCCAUCCGGAAGGCGAUGACAUUUGAGAUACUUACUGGAGCAUUGAUGCCCAGAGAAUAAUGCGAACAGUUUUGUAGAUCACGCACUAUUUUGACCAUAGAUCAAGUGAUGACAUAUAUUUGUUCAAACUGAUUGAGAAAUUUUGAUGCAUGCUAAAACAGCAUCAAUAUUUUUUGUGGAUCAAGGCAGCGACCUGUUGUUAUUCGUUAUGCAUUUAUGCUUGCCUCAAAGGGUCUCCCUGUUGUGUUAAGUUUGUAAAUAUUUUUUUCUUGCCCAAACUCUGUUUAAUUGGCCACUGAAUUAAAAAAAAUCGUGUUUGUAUUACUAUGCUUUUUAUAGCCAGUAAAAAGGGCGAUACAAUUAUUGAGUGUCUUUACUGAACUUUAUUUUUAGGUCACCUGAGCACAACGUGCUCAUAGUGAGCUUUUGUGUUCGCCUUUUGUCCGUCGUGUGUUGUGCGUCGUCAACAUUUGCCGUGUUAACUCUCUAGACGCCACAUUUAUUAUUCAUCUUCGUGAAAUUUGUCAAGAAGAUUGGUCUCAAUGAUAUCCCGUAAGAGUUCGAAAAUGGUUACCUUUGCUUGAAAAACAUGGCUGCCAAGGGGCGGGGGAUUUUUCCUUAUAUGGCUAUAGUAAAAUUUUGUUAACACUCUAGAGGCGACAUUUAUUGCCAGAUCUUCAUGGAACUUGGUCAGACGAUCCAUCCCAAUAAUAGCUUAGACGAGU